rnacentral:rRNA from 1 species
UACCAGCACCCCGAGUGGUCGGGACGAUUAUUGGGCCUAAAGCAUCCGUAGCCGGUCCUACAAGUCUUCCGUUAAAUCCACCUGCUUAACAGAUGGGCUGCGGAAGAUACUAUAGGGCUAGGAGGCGGGAGAGGCAAGCGUACUCGAGUGGGUAGGGGUAAAAUCCUCUGAUCCAUUGAAGACCACCAGUGGCGAAGGCGGCUUGCCAGAACGCGCUCGACGGUGAGGGAUGAAAGCUGGGGGGAGCAAAC